ACAGAUUUUGCAUCCAGUUCCCCCCAGAGAAUCUUCCCCACAAUUCAAUCAUAGCUGAAAAUGAAACUAUCCUUGGAAUAAGCACUGUCCUGUCCUCUUUCUAAGGAGACUCCAAACAGGAAAUUGGUUUCACCUGUCAGGAACUUCUGGCACCUUGGUAGAUCUUUAAACUGUCACAUCACAGAAUUAUAGAUUUUAGAACUGGAAGGAACCCUGCAGAUCAAUCACUCAGCUCCUCAAGGCUUCUUUCUUUCAAGAGGACAGGAUAGCCAUCACUGAGGCGUGCGGGACUCCAGGACACAACUGAAAACGGGUCUUCGUGGUUUGAUGGUCCUGUGUCAGAAAAUCAGGGUGAUCUGACUACCUGGGUUUGGAGAUGGGCAUCUUGUUUUCUGGCAGAAUUGAGGAAAGCAAGAUUGCUUUGGGCUCUGUGUAAAUUGUAAACUGGUUCUCAGAACAAACUCCAAGUCACAUCUGUUUAUGAGAAAAGUAUCAGACAAAUUUCAACGGAAGGGCAUCCUACAAAAGACUUCACCAGUAUUCCACAGAACUAUCAAGGAAAGUCUGAGAAAUUGCAGCAACCAAGAGUAGCCUCAGAAGAUAUGACAACUUAAUGUAAUGUAGUAUCCUGGAUGGGAUCAUGGAACAGAAAAAGAUAAGCCUCUCUGCCAAGUGGUUAUAGAUCUUUGAACCAACACUGCUAUUCACUCUGGAGGCUGACAUUUAAAUUCUUCUUGGUGGAAUGAGCAUUUGAAAAUGUUAAAGGGUUUCCUGGGGCUUCCCUGGUGGCACAAUGGUUAAGAAUCUGCCUGCCAAUGCAGGAGACACCGGUUCGAGCCCUGGUCCCAGAAAAUCCCACAUGCCAUGGAGCAACUAGGCCCAUGUGCCACAACUACUGAGCCCGUGUGCCACAACUACUGAAGCCCGUGCGCCUAGAGCCCGUGCUACACAGCAAGAGAAGCCACCGCAAUGAGAAGCCUGCACACCACAAUGAAGAGUAGCCCCUGCUCGCCGCAACUAGAGAAAGCCCGCGCACAGCAACGAAGACCCAGCACAGCCAAAAAUUUUAAAAAUUAAUUAAAAAAAAAAAAAAAAAGGA